CUUCACAAAUCUCAUUCUAGAGAUAUGCCUUAGAAAUUGCUGCAUAUAUUUUUUAAAUAGAUACCAUCAAAAUCUAUUACUAGCAUUCCAUAUGAAAUAUAGAAAGAGGCAAGUUGCCCAACUUAUAUGAAAAGAGUUGAUGUACAUAAGUUUUGUACUAGAUUAGCUUUGUAUAAGUUUAUAGGUUAUUCUAAGAGUGGUAUGUAAUACUACUUCUACCACCCUACAA
rnacentral:lncRNA from 1 species